CUGGGCCAUGUGACAUUCUCACAAAUGUCACAAUAGGAGAACAGUUCUGUCUCCAUGGCAGUGCUGCUGUUCUGCUGUCAGCAUCACAGGCUUCCUCUCCCUCUCUGGAGAUCACCUUAGAGAAAGUAUUUGCUGAAGACAUGAGGGCUGACCUGGAGAGACCUCACUGGUACUUUCUGGCUUUUGAAACCACCCCAGUACAGAAGUGAGGUGGAGUGGCACAGGAGCAGCUGAGAGCAGGGAUUGGCUUUUGUGCAGCACACAGGAAACAGCACAAGGCACCCUUGCCAGAGCCAAGGUCUGUCAGACCCAGAGUGCUGCAGCUGCAGCAGCUUUGCUUCACAGCAUCACCGUGUGAGAUGGAGAGACCCUCUGGAUGUGCUUCACUGCCAGGGAGCGUGGCAGGAGGCUCCUGCAGCUUGGCAGGAUGGAAAAGCUCCCCCCAACUCUGCCAGUCUGGGACAUAC